CUUGCUGUUGGUGGAUGAGUGGCGAACGGGUGAGUAACACGUGAGUAACCUGCCCCUGAUUUCGGGAUAAGCCUGGGAAACUGGGUCUAAUACCGGAUACGACCAAUCCUCGCAUGAGGGUUGGUGGAAAGUUUUUCGAUCGGGGAUGGGCUCGCGGCCUAUCAGCUUGUUGGUGGGGUAAUGGCCUACCAAGGCGACGACGGGUAGCCGGCCUGAGAGGGCGACCGGCCACACUGGGACUGAGACACGGCCCAGACUCCUACGGGAGGCAGCAGUGGGGAAUAUUGCACAAUGGGGGAAACCCUGAUGCAGCGACGCAGCGUGCGGGAUGACGGCCUUCGGGUUGUAAACCGCUUUCAGCAGGGAAGAAGCGAGAGUGACGGUACCUGCAGAAGAAGUACCGGCUAACUACGUGCCAGCAGCCGCGGUAAUACGUAGGGUACGAGCGUUGUCCGGAAUUAUUGGGCGUAAAGAGCUCGUAGGUGGUUGGUCACGUCUGCUGUGGAAACGCAACGCUUAACGUUGCGCGUGCAGUGGGUACGGGCUGACUAGAG
rnacentral:rRNA from 1 species